GACGAACUGUGCAAACGUUAUUCGGAAUCACUGGGCUUAAAGGGUGCGUAGGCGGUCUUGUAAGUAGGGUGUGAAAGCCCCCGGCUCAACCGAGGAACUGCGCCCAAAACUGUCGUGCUCGAGGGAGACAGAGGUGAGCGGAACUUAGGGUGGAGCGGUGAAAUGCGUUGAUAUCCUAAGGAACACCGGUGGCGAAAGCGGCUCACUGGGUCUCUUCUGACGCUGAGGCACGAAAGCUAGGGUAGCGAACGGG
rnacentral:rRNA from 1 species